rnacentral:rRNA from 1 species
CCCUGUAAUUGGAAUGAGUACACUUUAAAUCCCUUAACAAGGACCUAUUGGAGGGCAAGUCUGGUGCCAGCAGCCGCGGUAACUCCAGCUCCAAUAGCGUAUAUUAAAGUUGUUGCGGUUAAAACGUUCGUAGUUGAACUUGUGCUUCAUACGGGUAGUACAACUAUAAUUGUAGUUUGUACUGUACCUUAUGUAUGCAAGCGUAUUACCGGUGGAGUUCUUAUGUGUAUUAAAUACUUGUAUUUUUUACAUGUUCCUCCUAUUUAAACCUACUUCAGUGCUCUUCAUCGAGUGUUGUUGUGGGCCGGUACAAUUACUUUGAACAAAUUAGAGUGCUUAAAGCAGGCUCCAAAUGCCUGAAUAUUUUGUGCAUGGAAUAAUGAAAUAAGACCUCUGUUCUACUUUCAUUGGUUUUUAGAUCAAGAGGUAAUGAUUAAUAGAAGCAGUUUGGGGGCAUUAGUAUUACGACGCGAGAGGUGAAAUUCUUGGACCGUCGUAAGACUAACUUAAGCGAAAGCAUUUGCCAAAGAUGUUUUCAUUAAUCAAGAACGAAAGUUAGAGGUUCGAAGGCGAUCAGAUACCGCCCUAGUUCUAACCAUAAACGAUGCCAGCUAGCAAUUGGGUGUAGCUACUAUCAUGGCUCUCUCAGUCGCUUCCCGGGAAACCAAAGCUUUUGGGCUCCGGGGGAAGUAUGGUUGCAAAGCUGAAACUUAAAGGAAUUGACGGAAGGGCACCACCAGGAGUGGAGCCUGCGGCUUAAUUUGACUCAACAC